GCCGGUGCAAUGGUGCAUGACUGUAGUCCAAGCUACUCAGGAGGCUGAGGCUGGAGGAUCGCUUGAGUCCAGGAGUUCUGGGCUGUAGUGCGCUAUGCCAAUUGGGUGUCCGCACUAAGUUCAGCAUCAAUAUGGUGACCUGGGAGUGGGGGACCACCAGGUUGCCUAAGGAGGGGUGAAGCAGCCCAGAUCAGAAACGGUGCAGGUCAAAACUCCCAUGCUGAUCAGUAGUGGGAUCAUACCUGUGAAUAGCCACUGCACCCCAGCCAGGGCAACAUAGGGAGACUCUGUCUCUU
ensembl:misc_RNA Metazoa_SRP Metazoan signal recognition particle RNA